rnacentral:rRNA from 1 species
GAUGAACGCUGGCGGCGUGCCUAAUACAUGCAAGUCGAGCGAACAGACGAGGAGCUUGCUCCUCUGACGUUAGCGGCGGACGGGUGAGUAACACGUGGAUAACCUACCUAUAAGACUGGGAUAACUUCGGGAAACCGGAGCUAAUACCGGAUAAUAUAUUGAACCGCAUGGUUCAAUAGUGAAAGACGGUUUUGCUGUCACUUAUAGAUGGAUCCGCGCCGCAUUAGCUAGUUGGUAAGGUAACGGCUUACCAAGGCAACGAUGCGUAGCCGACCUGAGAGGGUGAUCGGCCACACUGGAACUGAGACACGGUCCAGACUCCUACGGGAGGCAGCAGUAGGGAAUCUUCCGCAAUGGGCGAAAGCCUGACGGAGCAACGCCGCGUGAGUGAUGAAGGUCUUCGGAUCGUAAAACUCUGUUAUUAGGGAAGAACAAAUGUGUAAGUAACUAUGCACCUCUUGACGGUACCUAAUCAGAAAGCCACGGCUAACUACGUG